rnacentral:lncRNA from 1 species
CCCUGCCUGACCGUCCGCAGCAUCUACUUUUGGGGAGCCCGUGGUGCGGCGUUGCCUUCUCUGAAGGCAUGUUAUCUGUCGGCUGCCCCUAGAAUCCAGGAUCAUCUCUCAUAUUACUUCUCACCAACGUCUUCAGUUCUUUUGUCCUCGUUAUUUCUGCUGCCUCAGACUAAGAAUGUGCCAAACCAACUCUCUCCCUUCCGCUCUCCUACAUCCAGGCCUAGGGGAUCCCUUGGAGGAAACACACAGCAGGAAGUCCAUGUUCCUGCAAUUCCCAUCUUCUACGUGAGCCAGCCCUGCCUGUCAGUCAGCUGUGGACAGCAGCAGAGUGUGAUGCUUAAGGAAGCAGGCUCCAGAGCCAGGCUCCUGGGAUGGCUGUGCCGUGGACCAGCUGUGUCACCUUGGGAAAUUUCCCAAACUCCUCUUAGUCUUCUCAUCUAUAAAUGGUGGAUCCAAUGCUUCCCUGCCUCAGUGUUGUCGUGAAGAUGAAAUGGGUUAAAACAUGUGAAACAGUGUCUGGCACACAGUAAACAAACCAUAAAUGCUGGUUGUCAUGUCCUUAUUGCU